ACAAAUAACUCGUAGUAGAUUUAUAAGUCAGAAACACUAUCAGAUUGCCAUUUGGCAAUAUCAGACUUUAACUCAUAUAUGACAGUACACUUUACAAAAAAUAAAGGAAAAAAAGGGAAACAAAAAAAAAACAAUAUAUUACAUUUUCAAUACUCAUAAUUUGAAACUUAAUGACGCAUUAAUUUAAAAAAUUAAAAAUAAAAUCUCAAUUUACAGUGCAAGACACAACUCAAGUUAAUAUUAUUAGCAUUUCCAAAAAUCCAAAAAAAAAAAGCACUAGCCAUUUGAUUCAAAUGUCAUUUUUUGUUAACUUAGUUUUCUCAAUAACCAAAGAGACGUUUUCAAAAUAAACAAGAAGUAAAAAAAAAUGAUAAUAAAUAAAAUAAAAGAAGAGAGAGAGAGAAGAAAAUAGGAAAUAAGAACUCAUAGUCCGAAAAAUGAACAAAUAUCAUUUGUAGCACAAUCUUUCCAUUUCAAAAACUUAAAGCGCCAUUUAAUGAUAAUUCAAAUAACCCCUUAUUUUCCGUCAUCAGUUGAACUAAUGUUAUGAAAGAAGUUAUUAGUACAGAACUUAGGUAAAUAGUCAAGCCUCAAGAGGACUACUUUAACAUAAUGAAAGAAGUAAUAAGUACAAAAUCUAGCAGGAAAGUAAGAUAAUCGUUAUUAAACAGAGCGUCCAAUCAACUAUGCCCACAGAACAUUUGUUUUGCUUUGCUGAAAUGGACUAUAUACAAUCUUGUGUAAAAUCCUUAAAUCUAAUGAUUCAAAAAAUGUCCACCUCAACUUUGCUAAAUACCACUUGGCUACAUAGUGAUAGAAACUAGCUCUCCUGGUAUCUAAACAACUAAUAUCCUGAACAUUCAUUUUACAGUUAUUUACUACUUUCUUUCCAGCGCUGUUCAAAUAAGAAAAUUCAAGAUGAAACAAUAAAGUACUGGUGAUAGACAAAAUCAGGAAUUCAUAAACAACUUGAAGCCAUAAAGUGCAAUCCUCGAUCAAACUAUCUUAUGUCUUUCUCCAAAGCAUUUCUACAGCCUCGAUAGAACUUUCUCCUAUCACAUUUAAAUAUUGCAAAAAAACUGAUUUAACAUGUGAUCUUCUUUUGAUAUCUUCGAAAUUCAAUUGCAACUUUUUUUCAAACCCCAAAAAUGGAAAAGGAAAUUACCAAAUUAUCAUAAUUUUCCAUUUUGCACCAUUAUCGAAUAACCACUAUAUUAUUCAGCUAUAACUAAUUGACCCAUUUGCAUUAAUUUCCUAAAUCGCUGUGAAACGAAACCCGCCGCUUUCAUGAAAACAAUUUUCCAUCACCAAUAAUUCACCAAGGCAAUCCUCCGUUUGGCUACCGGAAAACAACAUACACGCGCAUGUAUAUGGACAAAGAGUCCUAGCCAUUUGAGAUAAUUUGCUAAAUUAUAUAUUAAAACAACCCUGGGUGCUUUUGCGCAAUCAAAACCAAACCAGCAUUAGACCUAAACCUAGCAUUAAAACUUCGUUUCAUUGAGGGUUGAAGAAAAUGAGAAACCCUAGGGAAGGAGCAAGUGAGAGAUAAUUACAGAUAGCGAGGAGAGGGCAAGGUCCAUUGUCGUUUUGGAGAACAAUAGGAGUAGUGCGGCCCAAAAACUGUAUCGUCUUCGUUUUGUGGACGCACUCCUCUUUCAACGCCUCUUGUUGAUUCUGUUCUUGUCUUGGUUCUUCGGUCACCGAAGAAGUACAAGCCAUUUCCAUGAAAUUUCGACCCUGCAAUGUUUAAACGACGGAUCGUUUAAUCUAUUCAGAGGUAGCGAGCGAGAGCGAGAAAUAGAGAGGAUAAAAAGGGAAGCAGCAACGAACAAGAUUUAUAAAAUCAGAGAGUUGGAUUAUGGGAAUGGGAUGUUUUAUCUUCUGUUCUUUAUUUCCCGUUCGACGGUAUCACCAAAGCCGUUUUGGCCUCUUUCGAUUUCAAGUUUCAAUCUGAUGAGAUUUUUUCUCAUUAUUUUCCUAUUUUU
rnacentral:misc_RNA from 1 species